rnacentral:rRNA from 1 species
GACGAACGCUGGCGGCGUGCCUAAUACAUGCAAGUAGAACGCUGAAGAGAGGAGCUUGCUCUUCUUGGAUGAGUUGCGAACGGGUGAGUAACGCGUAGGUAACCUGCCUGGUAGCGGGGGAUAACUAUUGGAAACGAUAGCUAAUACCGCAUAAAAUUGAUUAUUGCAUGAUAAUUAAUUGAAAGAUGCGAUUGCAUCACUACCAGAUGGACCUGCGUUGUAUUAGCUAGUUGGUGAGGUAACGGCUCACCAAGGCGACGAUACAUAGCCGACCUGAGAGGGUGAUCGGCCACACUGGGACUGAGACACGGCCCAGACUCCUACGGGAGGCAGCAGUAGGGAAUCUUCGGCAAUGGGGGGAACCCUGACCGAGCAACGCCGCGUGAGUGAAGAAGGUUUUCGGAUCGUAAAGCUCUGUUGUAAGAGAGGAACGGGUGUGAGAGUGGAAAGUUCACAUUGUGACGUAUCUACCAGAAAGGACGCA